UACAGAGGUCUCAAGCGUUGUUCGGAUUCAUUGGGCGUAAAGGGUGUGUAGGUGGCGCGCUAAGUCGGGUGUGAAAUUUCGGAGGUUAACUCCGAAACUGCAUUCGAUACUGGCGUGCUUGAGGACUGGAGAGGAGACUGGAAUUCAUGGUGUAGCAGUGAAAAGCGUAGAGAUCAUGAGGAAGACCAGUGGCGAAGGCGGGUCUCUGGACAGUUCCUGACACUGAGACACGAAGGCCAGGGGAGCAACCGGG
rnacentral:rRNA from 1 species